GACGGAAGGUGCAAGCGUUGCUCGGAAUCACUGGGCGUAAAGGGUGCGUAGGCGGCGCGGUAAGUUGGGUGUGAAAUCCCUCGGCUCAACCGAGGAACUGCGCCCAAUACUACCGUGCUCGAGGGAGAUAGAGGUGAGCGGAACUUAGGGUGGAGCGGUGAAAUGCGUUGAUAUCCUAAGGAACACCGGUGGCGAAAGCGGCUCACUGGAUCUCUUCUGACGCUGAGGCACGAAAGCUAGGGUAGCGAACGGG
rnacentral:rRNA from 1 species